UAAAGGAAGCGAUUCCGGCUACGGAUGGUCAUGCGUCGCAUUAGCUUGUUGGCGGGGUAACGGCCCACCAAGGCGACGAUGCGUAGGGGUUCUGAGAGGAAGGUCCCCCACACUGGUACUGAGACACGGACCAGACUCCUACGGGAGGCAGCAGUGAGGAAUAUUGGUCAAUGGCCGCAGGGCUGAACCAGCCAAGUCGCGUGAGGGAUGACGGUCCUAUGGAUUGUAAACCUCUUUUGUCAGGGAGCAAAGGGCGCCACGUGUGGCGCUUUGCGAGUACCUGAAGAAAAAGCAUCGGCUAACUCCGUGCCAGCAGCCGCGGUAAUACGGAGGAUGCGAGCGUUAUCCGGAUUUAUUGGGUUUAAAGGGUGCGCAGGCGGAAUGUCAAGUCAGCGGUAAAAUUUCGGGGCUCAACCCCGUCGUGCCGUUGAAACUGGCGUUCUUGAGUGAGCGAGAAGUAUGCGGAAUGCGUGGUGUAGCGGUGAAAUGCAUAGAUAUCACGCAGAACUCCGAUUGCGAAGGCAGCAUACCGGCGCUCAACUGACGCUCAUGCACGAAAGCGUGGGUAUCGAACAGGAUUAGAUACCCUGGUAGUCCACGCAGUAAACGAUGAAUA
rnacentral:rRNA from 1 species